rnacentral:rRNA from 1 species
GGGGAAUAUUGGACAAUGGGGGCAACCCUGAUCCAGCAAUGCCGCGUGUGUGAAGAAGGUCUUCGGAUUGUAAAGCACUUUCGACGGGGACGAUGAUGACGGUACCCGUAGAAGAAGCCCCGGCUAACUUCGUGCCAGCAGCCGCGGUAAUACGAAGGGGGCUAGCGUUGCUCGGAAUGACUGGGCGUAAAGGGCGUGUAGGCGGUUUACACGGUCAGAUGUGAAAUCCCCGGGCUUAACCUGGGAGCUGC